rnacentral:rRNA from 1 species
UACGGAGGGUGCGAGCGUUGUCCGGAAUCACUGGGCGUAAAGGGCGCGUAGGCGGCGCGGGGAGUCAACGGUGAAAGCUCGGCGCUCAACGCCGAGUCGGCCGUCGAUACUCCCGUGCUUGAGCACUGUAGAGGCAGGUGGAAUUCCGGGUGUAGCGGUGGAAUGCGUAGAGAUCCGGAAGAACACCGGUGGCGAAGGCGGUCUGCUGGGCAGUAGCUGACACUGAGGCGCGACAGCGUGGGGAGCAAACAGG